rnacentral:lncRNA from 1 species
GAGACACUUCGAUCACUACGCAAAUGAUAUCGAAAAAUCGCAAAAUUUAUUUUCUAGAUACUUCCAAUACUCUAGAUCAAGUCUAAUAGAGCCGAUCAUCGAUUCGAAAGUCCAAACAUCGAAAACAAAGUGGAAGCACGGAGCGCUUCGUUCUUCCAUAAGCAUACCAGACGCACUCUAUAUAUAUAUAUAAUUGAGCUAUAAUACUUUUAAAAUUAUUACCCCAUUGAUGCUUUUAGAUUUCUGGCCCUUGAAUCUACUCCUUUAUUACUAAUAGCCCUUGGAUCAAACACUAUUCCAUCUACCACCACCUACCACCANCCCAUUGAUGCUUUUAGAUUUCUGGCCCUUGAAUCUACUCCUUUAUUACUAAUAGCCCUUGGAUCAAACACUAUUCCAUCUACCACCACCUACCACCACCUACUAUCAUCAUCACAACCUUACAUUCCUCCAUCCAAUGAUUAAAAACUCAAAAGCACCACCUCAUUGGUGCUUUUGAAUGUAUUCUAGGUCAUCUCUCUCUCUCUCUCUCUCUCUCUCUCUCUCUCUCUAUAUAUAUAUAUAGGGUCCGGCUACUAUACUAUUAUGAGUACAAUCACCCUCGUACUUAUAAGUUGUUUUUGAUGAUAGAGCUUCCGAAUCGACGAUCCACACCGUUAAACGUUAUUUACAGCAUUUAAAACUUCUAUAAAUCAAAUUUUAUAACUUUUCGACAACAUUUACCUUACGAUCAAGAGGUCACAAAUUUGAUAAUUUUUAACGGCCGGUAUGAGAUACUUGCUAGUUUAACGGUGUAAAAUAAUCAGAAUUUGUUAAAUUUUUUAUAGAAAAUUCUAUUCACUACAUAGAUAAAGAUCGAUAACUCUGAUCUUGAAUUGAAGGAUCCGAUUAUUCCUUUUUAGGACGUCGUUCAAUUUUGACCUUUCAUUUUUUGCCCACUUGAUGAACUUUACUAUGAUUUUGAAAAUUUACGAAAUUUAUUUUCUAAAAGUUUCAAAUACUCUAGAUCAUAUUUAACGGAAUGGAUCGCCAACUCCGAAGC